GUCAGAGCAUCAAAGAAAAACCAGAGAGGCAUGGGGCAGGGAGCAGCGGGCCUUGGAAACCACUGAAUAUAAACCCCUUGGUUUACAGAUGAGGAAACUGAGGCAGAGGCCAAGAUCUGCUGCCCCUGCUCUGUACCCCAGAAGGAUGACCCACGUGGAUUACACCUACAGUCCCUCUUGCUUCCUCACGGCUCAACGAUGGGGAGCACCAAAGGGACAUGGGAGGGAGGGAGGAGACUUGGACCAGGGUACUUGUUGCCUCUCUGCCUGUGCGGGGCCACCAGGCUGUGACCGAGUUCACAGCUCCUAUAGGCCAGCCCUCUCCACACAGCCCUGAGCCUCAGGCCAGAAGCAGUAACUCUGUUACCUGCUCUGGUGGGCUGAACCAUCCCUGUGCUGUCUCUUCAUCCUGAUCUCACCUUUGUAAAUUGUUCAUUUAUUAAACUCUCCUCAAAUUGC